rnacentral:rRNA from 1 species
AACGAACGCUUGCGGCAGGCUUAACACAUGCAAGUCGAGCGCCCCGCAAGGGGAGCGGCAGACGGGUGAGUAACGCGUGGGAAUCUACCCAUCUCUACGGAAUAACGCAUGGAAACGUGUGCUAAUACCGUAUACGUCCUUCGGGAGAAAGAUUUAUCGGAGAAUGGAUGAGCCCGCGUUGGAUUAGCUAGUUGGUGGGGUAAAGGACUACCAAGGCGACGAUCCAUAGCUGGUCUGAGAGGAUGAUCAGCCACCCUGGGACUGAGACACGGCCCAGAAUCCUUCGGGAGGCAGCAGUGGGGAAUAUUAGACAAUGGGCGCAAGCCUGUUCCAGCCAUGCCGCGUGAGUGAUGAAGGCCCUAGGGUUGUAAAGCUCUUUCACCGGUGAAGAUAAUGACGGUAACCGGAGAAGAAGCCCCGGCUAACUUCGUGCCAGCAGCCGCAGUAAGAC